rnacentral:misc_RNA from 1 species
AACGCACAUUGCGCCCCCCGGCAUCCCGGGGGGCAUGCCCGUCCGAGCGUCGCGAAGCCCCCUCGGGCCGCCCCGCACGGGGAGGCCCGGCGAUGGGCGCCUGGUCGGGGGGGGGCGACCCCCCCGACCCGCCCCGAAGGCAUCGGCGGCACGGCGCCGGCCCGCUGCGAAGCAGAGCUUGAUCGCGGCGGCGCCCGGCGGCCGCGCCCGCCGCGGACGACGGACCCGAACGACACGGCGUCGACCUCGGAUCGGGCAGGAGUACCCGCUGAACUUAA